CCUGCGCUUAAUUGCGCGGCCAAUUCUUGAUUCUCUGCUAUCAGUUUUCUAUUUCUCAUCCUAAACACAAUGGAGUUUUUUCUCUAUGAACUACUUCCCUGGAGAGCUCGUCUCUCCAGUGGACAUAAACACAAACAAUAUUUUGUAUUAUGAAAAACUAUUAUACUAUAAAAUUUAAUAUUCAAAACUUUCAACAACGGAUCUCUUGGUUCUCGCAUCGAUGAAGAACGCAGCGAAUUGCGAUAUGUAUUGUGAAUUGCAGAUUUUCGUGAAUCAUCAAAUCUUUGAACGCACAUUGCGCCCUCUGGUAUUCCAGGGGGCAUGCCUGUUUGAGCGUCAUUUCUCUCUCAAACCUUUGGGUUUGGUAGUGAGUGAUACUCGUCUCGGGUUAACUUGAAAGUGGCUAGCCGUUGCCAUCUGCGUGAGCAGGGCUGCGUGUCAAGUCUAUGGACUCGACUCUUGCACAUCUACGUCUUAGGUUUGCGCCAAUUCGUGGUAAGCUUGGGUCAUAGAGACUCAUAGGUGUUAUAAAGACCCGCUGGUGUUUGUCUCCUUGAGGCAUACGGCUUUAACCAAAACUCUCAAAGUUUGACCUCAAAUCAGGUAGGGGUACCCGCUGAACUUAAGCAUAUCAU
rnacentral:rRNA from 1 species